GACGAACGCUGGCGGCGUGCUUAACACAUGCAAGUCGAACGGAAAGGCCCUGCUUUUGUGGGGUGCUCGAGUGGCGAACGGGUGAGUAACACGUGAGUAACCUGCCCUUGACUUUGGGAUAACUUCAGGAAACUGGGGCUAAUACCGGAUAGGAGCUCCUGCUGCAUGGUGGGGGUUGGAAAGUUUCGGCGGUUGGGGAUGGACUCGCGGCUUAUCAGCUUGUUGGUGGGGUAGUGGCUUACCAAGGCUUUGACGGGUAGCCGGCCUGAGAGGGUGACCGGCCACAUUGGGACUGAGAUACGGCCCAGACUCCUACGGGAGGCAGGAGUGGGGAAUAUUGCACAAUGGGCGGAAGCCUGAUGCAGCAACGCCGCGUGCGGGAUGACGGCCUUCGGGUUGUAAACCGCUUUCGCCUGUGACGAAGCGUGAGUGACGGUAAUGGGUAAAGAAGCACCGGCUAACUACGUG
rnacentral:rRNA from 1 species